GAUUGCAUUGCUAUUGGUAAAUUAAUCUUGGAAGCUUUUCUAGGGUGUUUAUUCAAUAAAAGAAUUAAUCAAAUGGCUUCCAUUAAUUAACGAAAAAUUAAGGAGAAAUUAGGUUGUUAGAGCUUCUCAACAACUAUAACCAAUUUAUUAAUGGAUUUGGAAAUUAUAUUUGCAUCAACGAUCAAUUCAAUGAAUUAAAACUGAGAUUAUACUUUGGAUUAGAGUUUUCUCAUAUUGAUUUAUCUUCUCAAAUUUUAUUAUUGCUUCUAAUUGAUUUCUAGUUUAAUUUGUUUUAAUUCCAAAUUUAAAACCCCCCUAAUUUUAUUUGAAUUUUGUUAAAGAAAUAAAUCUUACUAAUCUCUAUGGAUUCGACCCUACUUGUCACUAUUUACAAGUUGUUUUUAUUUGAAGAGUAGAAACUUAUUUUUGUUGGAUUCGACACCCAUCAAAUUUUAGCGCCGUUGCCGGGGAUUGGUGUCACUUAAUUAGACUUAUUUCUUUUAUGCCUCGUUCUU
rnacentral:lncRNA from 1 species